UACGAAGGGGGCUAGCGUUGUUCGGAAUUACUGGGCGUAAAGGGCGCGUAGGCGGCCGCCUAAGUCAGACGUGAAAUCCCUCGGCUCAACCGGGGAACUGCGUCUGAUACUGGGUGGCUUGAAUCCGGGAGAGGGAUGCGGAAUUCCAGGUGUAGCGGUGAAAUUCGUAGAUAUUGGGAAGAACACCGAUGGCGAAGGCAGCCAUCUGGACCGACACUGACGCUGAGGCGCGAAAGCGUGGGGAGCAAACAGG
rnacentral:rRNA from 1 species